rnacentral:rRNA from 1 species
UACGUAGGCAGCAAGCGUUGUUCGGAAUUACUGGGCGUAAAGAGUGUGUAGGCGGUGUUCUAAGUCUGUUGUGAAAUCUCCCGGCUUAACCGGGAGGGUGCGGCGGAAACUGGAAUGCUAGAGGGUGGGAGAGGUAAGCGGAAUUCCUGGUGUAGCGGUGAAAUGCGUAGAUAUCAAGAGGAACACCUGAGGUGAAGACGGGUUGCUGGGCCAACACUGACGCUGAGGCGCGAAAGCCAGGGGAGCAAACGGG